ACAGGAAGAUUUGAAACUAGAUGCAACAAGAUCAUUUUCCUGCUCAAUGAAGCCAAGAUUUAUAUUUGACCUUUAUUAAUUUCAUUGAGAAUUAAGUAUUUAUCGAUUCUACAGAUUGUUUAACAAAGCUUAAUAUUGAACAUUAGCAUUUAUUAUGCUUAUAUAUCAGCAUGUGAUUCCCCGACACAUAUUCUCAAGCAAGAAUCAGAGAAAGAACUGUUAAUGCUGAAAAGAAAAACUUCAGGCUACAACAGUACUUACGAAUAACAAACAAAACCCCAAACCAAUGGUUUUUGCAUCUUUACAUGUAAGCAUGAUUGUGAGAGCUGAAAAGGAGUCUCUAAAAAUGUAAUUUUUGUUACAGCCACACUCUGAAAUAUGAUGAAGAGAGAACAGGGAAUAUAAAAUGUAUUUACAUGUUCUUGGAAAGAAAAAAAUUCCUGCUACUCUUUGCAGGUAAUAAGACAGAAGAUAUUUAUUGGUGUACUAGGAUUUUGUAAACUGCAUAAUUUUCUCAGUUAUAUGCCUAUAACAUAUAUGCAGUGGGAAGAAAGAUACCUAUAAAGAACCAUUCCAGAGCAAAUUAUUCUUAAGGAAGGUCAUUAUUUCCUCAUUUUAUUAAUAUGUCUCAACAAUGAGUUGGGACUAUUUUUAAAAUAUAAAUAAACCUCACCUGUCCCAACAAGGAGACAUUUGAUAUAUUGUACAAACGAGUAAUUUACAGCUAAACUCCUUCACACACUUGCUUAAGUGCUAUCUGCAGUGGGUCAUGGCACAAUUGGGAAGUUUAGCUCACAGUUUAGCAAUUCCGGUCUUUUGACACACAAUGCUGCAUCAGCAACAUGACUGCUAGAUUUUCUUUGCCAUUCCACUUACCAAGAAACAUUAUAUUUAAACCACACUGAGUAAAAUCUGCUACAAAAACCCACAACGCCACUGCUAUGCUAUAGCUUUCACUCCAGCUAAAGUCAAGACAGAAAAUCGUGGCUCAUUGUAUUAGAACAGUAAUUCUGAGCGAAAGGACAGCCAGAUACUACUCGAGGAAGCGAUUGCAUUCAGCACAGCUCUAAUGCCCUGCUGACCUGUGGUAUCUGUGUGAUACAUGAAAAGCCUUAGAGCUACAGUUUCGUAAAUUUACAAGUAACCAUGACAAGCUUUAACAUAUAAAAUGCAAACUGUUGCAAGGGUUAAGCUAUGUCUACUACUGAAAUAGAGGCUUUUUAAAUCCUCGAAGAUAGGUCGUUUAAGGAAAAAAUCCCAACGCUAACGGGAAUCAGAGGAUCUGACUGGGACCAAAGAAGCUCAUUCUGCAAUGUCUUUCUUUUUUUCUGCCUUUUCAGCUUUCCUCUACACUUUCAGAGAGAGAGAUUUUCAAGACAGAUGAGUGACAGUAAGAAAAAAUGAAUUCCUUCCAUAUGUCAAGUCUACAAAUCCAAAAACGACAUGCUAUCCUCUGUAUAACAGAUCGUUCGCCUUUUAGCAGCCUUUUAAAACCAGUUUACACAAAACCAUGUGAGACAGACACUGCAACCAGUAAAAGUGAAGCCGGCAGCAGUUAACGCCUUGACGAUAUCCAGGGGAGACCUCAUAAAUGAGCUGCUGCGCUGUGCAAACUGCCAGUGGGGUGACCCCGCUGUCACCAACUAAGAAUUUAUAUUGAAAGAUGAAAGAAUUCCACAGUUUUUCUUUGUCCCAGGCAGUAUUUACUCCUCAUACAGAGCUUUGCACCCACUGCCCAAGAUGAUACAGAUACGUAUGUUAAAUACUAUCUUAUGCCAGGUUACACUAAUGCAAGCUCAAAUGGAUAUUAUUUAUGAAAUUAAUUUUUUCAGGUAUAAUUCACCACCAUUGCUGAUAACACAAUGAUAGUUCAUGUCAGUGGGCAUAAAAAUACCACUUUAGAUUGCACAAAAAACCCUCAGUGACCACUGAACAAAAUGAAAAUUUCAGGUAGCUCCACGAGAAAAAAAUAUUCAUUUCCCAUGGUAUAAUUAAGUUGAAGAAAGAGAAUCACCUUAAAAAUUUUAAUAAGUAGUUUUACACACAGCCUGGCUCCAUGAAAGAACUUUUUUUUUUUUUUUUUUUUUUUUUUGUAAUACGGAGGUUCAUGCAUUUUCACUUCAUCCUCCAAAGUCCUGCUUAAAUUUUGCAAACGUGUUUUUAGGUAGGGAACCAUUUACUAGUUAAAUGCCUCUAUUGAAUAAAUUGAUUCUUCUCUUUCCUUUUGCCUUCUCCCUCUCCAGUAAAAGUUG